rnacentral:rRNA from 1 species
GAAUACCAAGGCGCUUGAGAGAACUCGGGUGAAGGAACUAGGCAAAAUGGUGCCGUAACUUCGGGAGAAGGCACGCUGAUAUGUAGGUGAAGCGACUUGCUCGUGGAGCUGAAAUCAGUCGAAGAUACCAGCUGGCUGCAACUGUUUAUUAAAAACACAGCACUGUGCAAACACGAAAGUGGACGUAUACGGUGUGACGCCUGCCCGGUGCCGGAAGGUUAAUUGAUGGGGUUAGCGGUAACGCGAAGCUCUUGAUCGAAGCCCCGGUAAACGGCGGCCGUAACUAUAACGGUCCUAAGGUAGCGAAAUUCCUUGUCGGGUAAGUUCCGACCUGCACGAAUGGCGUAAUGAUGGCCAGGCUGUCUCCACCCGAGACUCAGUGAAAUUGAACUCGCUGUGAAGAUGCAGUGUACCCGCGGCAAGACGGAAAGACCCCGUGAACCUUUACUAUAGCUUGACACUGAACAUUGAGCCUUGAUGUGUAGGAUAGGUGGGAGGCUUUGAAGUGUGGACGCCAGUCUGCAUGGAGCCGACCUUGAAAUACCACCCUUUAAUGUUUGAUGUUCUAACGUUGGCCCGUAAUCCGGGUUGCGGACAGUGUCUGGUGGGUAGUUUGACUGGGGCGGUCUCCUCCUAAAGAGUAACGGAGGAGCACGAAGGUUGGCUAAUCCUGGUCGGACAUCAGGAGGUUAGUGCAAUGGCAUAAGCCAGCUUGACUGCGAGCGUGACGGCGCGAGCAGGUGCGAAAGCAGGUCAUAGUGAUCCGGUGGUUCUGAAUGGAAGGGCCAUCGCUCAACGGAUAAAAGGUACUCCGGGGAUAACAGGCUGAUACCGCCCAAGAGUUCAUAUCGACGGCGGUGUUUGGCACCUCGAUGUCGGCUCAUCACAUCCUGGGGCUGAAGUAGGUCCCAAGGGUAUGGCUGUUCGCCAUUUAAAGUGGUACGCGAGCUGGGUUUAGAACGUCGUGAGACAGUUCGGUCCCUAUCUGCCGUGGGCGCUGGAGAACUGAGGGGGGCUGCUCCUAGUACGAGAGGACCGGAGUGGACGCAUCACUGGUGUUCGGGUUGUCAUGCCAAUGGCACUGCCCGGUAGCUAAAUGCGGAAGAGAUAAGUGCUGAAAGCAUCUAAGCACGAAACUUGCCCCGAGAUGAGUUCUCCCUGACUCCUUGAGAGUCCUGAAGGAACGUUGAAGACGACGACGUUGAUAGGCCGGGUGUGUAAGCGCAGCGAUGCGUUGAGCUAACCGGUACUAAUGAACCGUGAGGCUUAACCUUACAACGCCGAAG